rnacentral:tRNA from 1 species
AACGCACUAGUUAAAUGGCAUAACUCCGUGCUACGGACACGUUAUUAUAAGUUCGAAUCUUAUGUGCGUUU